GCUGGCCAAUCAUAAGCGGGAUUAUCACUUCCAACUCCAAGUAGCAGCACAUAUGCUAAUGGCCUCAGGUGCAAGAAGCAGCACGCCGCAGCUUCUCCUACUACUUUACGCUGGCUGCGUCCUCCUUUCCAUGUCUCGUAAUGCUCCUCAGCAUCUCGUAGCAGCCGCCAACUCACCCUUCUCCUUCAGCUUCGACUUCUCCACCAUAUCCAUCUCUCGCUUACAAGACCUCCGAUUGGAGGGCGAUGCGGCCUUGCACGGGAAGCUGGUCGACCUCACCUACAACUCCAUCACGCAGAGAAUCGCCAACAACAACUGCAUGGGGCGGAUGGCGUACGCUCACCCUGUGCCCUUCUAUGACAGUAUCACCGGUGAGGUAUCGAGCUUCACCACACGGUUCAAGUUCGCGAUCGGGCUCAACGUCGGUGGCAGCAACAAAGAGGGUGGCAUGGCUUUCUUCCUCUCCAGCUACCCUUCCAGAUUACCGCCAAGCUCAAGCGGGGGUAACCUCGGUCUCCCUGUCGAUGACGGCCGGAGCCAAGUCCACGGCACAGACCAGUUCAUCGCCGUAGAGUUCGACGUGUUCAGCAACACCUGGGACCCAAGUGGCACCCAGGAUCAUAUCGGCGUCGACAUAAACUCUGUUAGGCAGUCGGUUAACACGACAAGCUUACCCACCUUCAGCUUGAACGGCUCUAUGACAGCGUCCAUCACCUACGACAACAGUACCAAGAUGCUUGUCGCCUCCCUACAGUUUGAUGAUCAUCCUUCUGUCGGCCCCAUUGAGGUAAGCACCAUAUUGCCUGAUCCCGUCACGUCCUUGCUACCGCCGGAGGUGGCGGUGGGGUUUUCUGCGGCCACUGGUACAUCUUUCCAGCUCCAUCAGAUAUUGUCUUGGUCCUUCAACUCAACCCUUUCGACUCACGCAGGUUCUGACGCACAAGACACACAAAUAAAGCGCAGACGAAUGACCACUGGAUCGGUCUUCACUAGCAAAUCAGGUCGCAAAAAGUAUUAUGGACAGCUUUUUGUAAUAUUUCUGGAGUAAUGGUAGCAAGCUGUUGGAAGGAUGUCGCACGGUUCAGGUGGGAAAAUACACUUGAUUCUUUGCGUUAAGAACAACAGGCCUCAGGCGAUUCGAGUACGGAGAAUUGGCCACUAUGACAGGCGAUUUCUCCACCAAGCUUGGAGGCGGUGCCUUUGGCGAAGUAUAUCAGGGAGCUACUGGAAUGAUAGCAGCAUGGAAUGGGAAGAUCUGGCUGUCAAGAAAAUGAAGAACACAACAGGAAGGGAUUUCAGGGAUGAACUCACGACAAUUAGUGAAACAAGGCACAAAAAUCUAGUGGAGCUGAUAGGUUGGUGCUGCAGCCGAGACUUCAUCGGUUAUUGGUGUUGUUGCUUUCAGCACAAGGUUGAACUCUUCCUUGUAUAUGAAUUGGUACCUAAUCGCGACCUGGAAUACCACCUGAAUCACUUUCUACCAUGGGAGAAGAGGUAUGUAUUGCACGUAGCGAUUCUUUUUUUUCCUAUUGCAUCUUAAUUUGGAGUACGUAUAAUCAAUUGCCACCAGGAUUAACUAUUUUACACCUGGUAUAGAGUGGCACACUGUUGUCUAUGGCUUUACCGACAUGAUGUAACAAUAUU